GUCCACGCCGUAAACGUUGGGCACUAGGUGUGGGUUCCAACCAACGGAAUCCGCGCCGUCGCUAACGCAUUAAGUGCCCCGCCUGGGGAGUACGAUCGCAAGAUUAAAACUCAAAGGAAUUGACGGGGGCCCGCACAAGCAGCGGAGCGUGUUGCUUAAUUCGAUGCAACGCGAAGAACCUUACCUGGGCUUGACAUGUACGGAAAAGCCGUAGAGAUACGGUGUCCUUCGGGCCGUACACAGGUGGUGCAUGGCUGUCGU
rnacentral:rRNA from 1 species